rnacentral:rRNA from 1 species
AUUGAACGCUGGCGGCAUGCCUUACACAUGCAAGUCGAACGGCAGCACGGGGGCAACCCUGGUGGCGAGUGGCGGACGGGUGAGUAAUGCAUCGGAACGUGCCCUGAAGUGGGGGAUAACGCAGCGAAAGCUACGCUAAUACCGCAUAUUCUGUGAGCAGGAAAGCAGGGGAUCGCAAGACCUUGCGCUUUGGGAGCGGCCGAUGUCGGAUUAGCUAGUUGGUGGGGUAAAGGCCUACCAAGGCGACGAUCCGUAGCGGGUCUGAGAGGAUGAUCCGCCACACUGGGACUGAGACACGGCCCAGACUCCUACGGGAGGCAGCAGUGGGGAAUUUUGGACAAUGGGCGAAAGCCUGAUCCAGCCAUGCCGCGUGAGUGAAGAA